rnacentral:rRNA from 2 species
GUGCCUUCGGGAACUGUGAGACAGGUGCUGCAUGGCUGUCGUCAGCUCGUGUUGUGAAAUGUUGGGUUAAGUCCCGCAACGAGCGCAACCCUUAUCCUUUGUUGCCAGCGAUUAGGUCGGGAACUCAAAGGAGACUGCCAGUGAUAAACUGGAGGAAGGUGGGGAUGACGUCAAGUCAUCAUGGCCCUUACGACCAGGGCUACACACGUGCUACAAUGGCGCAUACAAAGAGAAGCGACCUCGC